rnacentral:rRNA from 1 species
AUUGAACUCUGGCGGCAGGCCUAACACAUGCAAGUCGAGCGAGCGGCGGACGGGUGGAUAAUGUAUGUGGAUCUGCCUGAUGGAGGGGGAUAACUACUGGCAACGGUAGCUAUUACCGCAUACCAUCAGAUGAACCCAUCUGGGAUGAGCUUGUAGGUGAGGUAACGGCUCACCUAGGCGACGAUCCCUAGCUGGUCUGAGAGGAUGAUCAGCCGCACGGUGACUGAGACACGGCCCAGACGCCUACGGGAGGCAGCAGUGGGGAAUAUUGCACAAUGGGAGAAAGCCUGAUGCAGCCAUGCCGCGUGUAUGAUGAAGGUAUUCGGGUUGUAAAGUACUUUCAGUCGGGAGGCGUUACCGACAGAAGAAGCACCGGCUAACUCCGUGCCAGCAGCCGCGGUAAUAC